rnacentral:lncRNA from 1 species
AUGCUCAAGAGAUUAUGUUUUAAACCUUUAACUAACAAAAUAUUUUUAAUAGAGGAGGUUACGUCCUUACCGACCGAGCCGAUGCCAAUAAUUUUUCCUUUGUUAUUAUCACCGAAAAUAACGCUUCCUCCUUCCUUAGGUUCUAGUUGAAGGAAUUUAGAUGCAUCCCCGGUCAUGUGUUUGGAGCAUCCACUAUCAAGGUACCAAAGUGCACUUGAUCCCUUCAAACAUACCUACAGAUGCAUCCCCGGUCAUGUGUUUGGAGCAUCCACUAUCAAGGUACCAAAGUGCCCUUGAUCCCUUCAAACAUACCUACAAAAAAAUUAAUGAGAUCUUGGUACCCAAACCAUUUUGGGUCCUUGUGUGUUAGGUGCGACAUAGUGUUGUUGUGGUUGACUUGCAUUGAAAUGCCUAUGUUGAGUGAAACAAUCAGGAUAUAUAUGCCCUACUUUAUUGCAAUAGUGACAAAUCACAUUAGAUUAUGCAUUCUUCUAGGAUGAUAGUAAUUUGGAGGUCUAUAUUUAUUUACUCUAUUUUUAGAAAAAUUGUUUUGAUGCAGUUUUCGAAAAUCUUGCCUAGGUGGUCUAUAUGUACCAACAUUUCUUCUAAUAUUAGUUCUAGGAUAAUUAACAACUCUAGGAUUAAUAUUUCUAGGUUGUGGGUUGGAAUUUAUUUUAUUCGGCCUAGGUUGAGUCUUAGGCGGUUUAUGAAUGGACUCAACUUUUUCUUC